UACGUAGGGAGCAAGCGUUGUCCGGAAUCAUUGGGCGUAAAGCGCGCGUAGGUGGCCUCGUAAGUCCGCUGUGAAAGUCAAAGGCUCAACCUUUGAAAGCCGGUGGAUACUGUGAGGCUAGAGUACGGAAGAGGCGAGUGGAAUUCCUGGUGUAGCGGUGGAAUGCGCAGAUAUCAGGAGGAACACCGGUGGCGAAGGCGGAUCUCUGGGCCUUACCUGACGCUGAGGCGCGAAAGCUAGGGGAGCGAACAGG
rnacentral:rRNA from 1 species